UCAAAUUAAAUUGUGUAUGUUAUUAUUGUUUUAAGUCAAACAUUACUUGAUAAUGCUGAUUACUUUCCUGCCUCACAUAAUCACACUUGCUUGAGGAUAAAUCUCCAAUUAUUGUCCUAUAAAUACUGAACUCUUGACAUCUGUCUUUCUUCAACCAAAGAACCUUUUAAUUUUCUCCUCCUCUUCUUCUUCUUCUUCUUCUUUUUUCCUAUGGCUUCCCAUAAGAGUAUCACCGUCUCCACUACAGAUAACUGCGCCAACGGCGAUUCAUUGCCGACAAACUCGCCGAAAGGCCAGUGCCUGUGCUCGCCGACGACUCAUAGAGGAUCUUUCAGGUGCAGGUAUCACCGUACCCCAUCUUCUGGUAACACAGCAAGUGAAUGGUUCAAGAGAUCAAAAUCCAUGCCUGUUAAUAAGCAAAAUAAUAUAUCUCCCAAAUCAGUUGAAUCUACUUAGAAUAUUAAUGUACUUUUUCGAUAUGUUUGAGUGGAUAAAUGGAAGAGUAUAUGGUCUCCUCUUUUUUCUCUUUUUUUUCGUCUUAAAUAUGUACAGUUUUUGAUAUUGCAAGGGACGUUCUCUUCUCUAGCUCCA